CUCUCCCAGUCCUGGGAUCUAGGAUAAGGUUUACCGGAUUAGUCACUUGACUGGAUCACUUCCGGGAGCCUGCUCUAGGAACUUCCGGUGUCCGGUUCUACCCCGCAAGCUUAGCAGCUCGCACUACGUCUGGCGCCCUCCAUUAGGAAGUAUGACGCAAAAGCCCAGAGACACCCCAAAACCCCCAAUACAAGCGCCUCAAGGUGGAGGAGAGCCCACAGCGGGGGCUAGCAGCACGGUGCGCACCGGUCCCUCCCCGCGCAGCUCGAGACCCUCGGAGGCGCCUGCGUCCUGCCCACACGCCCGCCCGUGUACGCCCAGGCCCUGGCCGCGGGCUGCGCGGCGCGCCCUCUCCGAGGCGCCAAACUGGGAUGGCGCGCGUCCGCCGCCCUGAUACUGCGCGUGCGCAGGAGCGUCGUCUGGUGUUCCGCCGCCGCUCGCUAGGGGGCGAGCUGUGCCCUCCCGCCCAUGGCGUUUAAAGCGCCGUGCGUGCGCCGAGACGGCCGCACCCAAGGUUCGGAGGGACGCGUGCGACUCCCGGGACGGAAAUUAGAGCGACAACCGUGUUCUCCCAGGAGUGGAGCCACGUGGCGCUGAGAGAGCGCGGCGGAAGUAGUAGUGAGGACAAGGACGUGCUGGCGUAGCAGAACUGCGCAACAGAAAUGAGAAAGUAGCUAGAGCGCUCGCCUGGCACUCGCGAGGCCCUUGGGUUCCCUUCCCGGGACCUCAAGGUAAAAGCAUGGAGGAAAUGACUCAGCCUCUUCUCCCUAGGUGACUUUUACGAAAAAAGGAGGAACGGAACUACACAAACUUCGGAAAGCGCAUGCGCGUCCGAGCUCGCUCCUUUUCCCUGGUUGGACGCGGGAAGGCAGGAUGAGUCAUUCGGCCAGGGUUGUCUCUCUUUCUCUCUCUCUGCGUAGGCUCAAACCGCCGGGAUCAGAUCCGUCCGGAUCGGGUCCGGAAAUGGAGGCAGGACCGACUACGCAGUCUCUGUCCCUACCGAUGGGCGCGUGCGCGGUCUUUGUACAAAAACAGAUAAAUUAGUAAUCUUCAGAACGCAAAGGAAAAGAAAGAUAAGCGCAGCUUUGCUGAUUCAUCAGAGAAAAUGCCUAUUGCUGUGGGUGGCAGUGCUGACCAUAGAGACUCAAUGUCAGUGUGCUGAAAGCGAGUGUUGAAUGCUCAGGCUUAAAUGAGAUAUCCACAUCAACACUUUCCAAGGCUCAGGGAGCAUCGUGGAAGAUGAUGCGGAAAGAGGAUAAGAACAAGGCGCAAAGGUGGAAUGCUGUGGAACAUCGUCUCCCAGGCAGGACACGGACGUGGCGCUCCUAAUCUCUGAGCACCUGAGAAGACUGGCCCAUCAGCAUCAGAUGGGUAAGGGAUCAUAAGGACCCUCUUCCCUGAAGCUUACACUUAGCACCUCUCUCUCUCUCUCUCUCUCUCUCUCUCUCUCUCUGCCUCCUAACUAUAGAUAAGAAUGUGAGCUCUCAAGUCUUGUUCCAGUGCCAUAUGCUUGCCUGCUGCCAUGCUCCCACGAUAAUGGUCAUGGACUCACCCUCUAAAAAUAUAAGCACGCAAUAAACUCUGUUUCUUCUUUAA